UGACUCAGUCAGCAGAUAAUCUUUCAAAACAGACUCCAAAUUGCUUGUUAAACACAAACAGUUAAGACAUCAGCUGUGUAGAAACCUGCAAGGAGCUACACCACUUGACAGAAACAUUAGGCAUGCUUACUGGCAGGGUUUGCUGAGCAGGUAGAGUCAGCUGGUUUGUAGGUAAUGGCACCUUCACUGUUAGUGUCGAACAUGUUAACAUCACAGCAGCUGAGAAAUCUGGCUUCUUUCAUCACAAGAUUUUGGUUUUUUUAAGCUUGCACAGCUUAAAAGAUACUACAAACAUCCCCGGAAUUCUCUACCUCCCUCACUCCGGUUGCCCUGAUUAUCCAGAGAUGUUGGUUUGGAGCACUUGCUCUCUCCUAUGUGUGUGACAAUGCCGGGAUGAGACUUCAAUUAUAGGAAAACAGCCUAAAUGUCAUCAAUGCUCCACAGUAAAUCUAUGGAAUACUGACACCUGCCGGCAAAGGACUUCACAUUACUCCUGGACAGCAAUUUGCCCUCCAUCUACACCCAAAAGCUGAUUUCCAUCCCAUAAGCACAAAAGCCAUCACAAGCAGGAAACGAGCACAGUUAGGAUGCCAAAAUGAAGAUCAAGAGCUAUCCUUACACUGCGAAACAGCUGCAAGGAACUCCUGCCCCCUAGAAGCCAGUGGCUCCCUGCCAGGUCCGUGGGAUUUCCCACUGUGUAUUUUGAAUCUCAGCAAAGAGAACAGGAAUUACCUGUGCCAGGAAGACAAUUUUUUUGUAACUGAAAAAGUGUUGACCUGGCUUCAGAGCCCACCAAGCUGGCAGAAAACCAAUCCUAGGGAAAAAAGAAGAAACAGUAAUCCUGUGCUGCAUUCAUGAGCUGAAUCUGCUCAGCAGUGAGUACCAGAGAUGAGACCAGAGCUGGAGGACGAGGGGAGAACAGAGCUGGAAGCAAGACUAAGGCAGCAGGACAGCCCUCCUAGCACCAGCCUGCAGGCUCAGCUUUUUCACCAAACUGCAUCUACAAUCCACGUGGCCAAACACACAGGCGACCAGCAGGAAAAGGUGUCCUCUAAAUUAUUCAGACGAUGUGCACCAAGGCACUGAGAUAAGUUUGGUGUCCCCUCCUCCUUUCCAAAAAGGAAAAUAAAGGGAGACAAAAAUCUGUCUGGGUUAGUUCAUGCAGCUAAAGAUACCUGCAUGUUUGUGCUUCCCUUGUACUAAUUUGUUACACAGACUCAUGCCACAAAACAACCCAACCUCUUAUUUGCUUUUGAAAGACUCCUGUAUCCAGGAGACAGGAUAAAGAAAAUGACAGUGCUACUAUUCACUCGGUAGCAAAAUUAGCACUCCAAAACAAAACGCUUUAGAGUCACUUGCAGUGAAUUUAAAGCCUGUGCCUGUGUUGACUUUAGUUCUGUUUCAACUUUAAUUGAUUACUUGAGUCAUCUUUUUAGUUGUUUUCCUGAGUGCAAGGAGAAUGUUUUCUGCAAGAAGGCAAAUGUGGAUGUGACAAUUAAAAUUACAAAAAAAAAAGCACUUUUAAAGCCUUAAUGAACUUUACAUAAGCAAAAAGCCAUAGCAUAUUAGAACUCUCAGACCUCCAGGUUCACUGCAGGAUACCCUGCACAGACACAGUGUUAAAAUUAAAUCACAGUGUUCAUCGUUUAGUUUACACCAGGGAAAUUCAGGAUGAAGGGAUACCAAAGGGCAUUACAAAGUGAUGACACAGAGACACAUCAACUAUUCAAUUUUGAAGUAUUUUUUCCCAAAUCUUUCAAAGACAGAGACUCUUUGUAAUGAUACCAUGCAUGCAGAGAAUCAUGGAAUCAUUAAGGUUGAAAAAGACCACUGAGAUCAUUAAGUCCAACCCCAGCUCCCCCCCCACCAUGCCCACAUGUCGCUCAGUGCAACGUCCCCACAGUGCUAGAACACCUCCAGCUGCCAGCUUCUGCAGGAGAAUUCUGCAGGAGACACAUUUCAAAUAGAAGAAAUGGGAGAAGUUCAACUAAAAGUAUGGGUGCUCAAGUAGCAAAUUGAGUGUGGAGUGUUACAGGGCUGUCUCAAGAGAGCUGUGGCAGCUGUGCAGCACCAGAGGAAGGGCAGGCAUCACCGCAGGGAAGAGGGGUCCAGUGCUGGGGAUGGCAUCACACAUCUUGCAGCUGAAGGCUGGAAUGCACACAAACCUUGGGGGGAGCAGUUGCUGCCACAGCUGGGUCCAAACCCUGAAAUAGCUAUUUUUCCCAGCAAGUCUUUUCCUAGUGUUUCUUGUUAGGGAAUGCACUAUGCAGAAUAAUUUAAGAUUACCUCUGGUCUAUUUUACAGAGCUGGAAUAAUGUAACAGGCAUUUGUGUAACAACUUGUACAUGUGGGUUACCUGUGUGGAAACCACCAAAAAAGACCUAGCCAGCCUAGCUGAUUUGAAAACAGUGAUAUGGUAUGUACAGAAAGAAUUAACUGAUAGACUGUCAUUACACAUAUUUCACAAUGUUUAUUCACCUAGGCAUAAUAUGGUAUCUUGGGCAUCUUUUCUCCAAAAUAACACAGAGAAAUCGCAAAGGUUGACAGACCAGUGGGUGGAACUGCUGCAGAUGUAGGAAAGCUUUCAUAUGAGAAUAAGAAAACAGAAAAUACUUGGCAAAGAAAUAUCGUUAUAAUACAGGCUUAACUAAGCAAUGAAUAAUAAAGAGAAAGUAAAUCAAACACCCUUAUUUACUUCUCAUCACAAAAGAAUGAGGUAUCACUUGAAAUGAAAGCAGCAAAUUUAAAUUGAAUACAAGGAACACAGUAUUUCACAUAACAUAGGAACAUAAUACAAUAUUAACGUAACAGGGAACAUAAUGUGUCAUAUUAUGACUGAGUACAACUCGCUGCUGUCAGAAGGCUGCAGAGCCAAGGGCUUAAUACAAAUAACAUUAGAUGCUUAUAGGCAUGACCAGAGUGCAUAGAGUUAAAGCAGAAAAGAGAACUUGUUUGUAAGGGAAUAAGUCAGGACCUGCAUGUAGAGAGGUGGGAAGAAAUCUCAGUUAUUGCUACAGAGGUACAAGUUGUGAGAUUUCCUGCACCUUGUAAAACUCCUGAUGCUGGACUGAAUGCCCAGAGCUGUGACCCAGCACUGUGUGUGGGGAGCAUUCUCUCUCUACAAGCAGACUCAUCACCAGAAUGUUAAUGCCUCACUGGCACUGAAUUUGCUCUCCUUAUGCGUAUCAAAAUACUAUGGCUCACUGUCUCCAUGCAGAAGUUCAUCCAAACUUCUGAUCAUUUCAUUAACAAAUAGAUUACAUUAAGAACUAAGCCUUGAUUUUCAAUUUUGUUUUGUCCUAUGGUUUCAGAUUUUCUUUUUUAUGACCAGCGCAAAGAGACUUUAAAUUAUAAUCUAACUCUUGACAUAUAUUGUAGUGUAAGUUUUAAUCAAGACUCCCAGAGGAAAGGAAAAUCUAACACUAUCCUCAAUCACUUUACAAUUUUGUUUGGAGUGUUUUUAUUUUUUCUUACUAAACAGCAAUAUUUAUCAUGUCUGCUUUCCACAAACCCGUAUUUCAUUUAUUCCAGAUAUGCAGAUUGAAACGUAUAUCACUUAAGUAUGUCACAGUUACCCCUGACUAUUAUUUACUACAUGCCUUUUUUCAGAAUGAUUAACAGCAUUUUGCAUACUCCCAUUAAACCUCCACGUACAACACCACUACCUCUAAUGGAUCUGAAGCAGCUUAUUAGAUCUCUGUGCUUCAAGGCAAGGCAUUUUCUCUUCAUACUGCCUUUUGAUUCUCAACUCCCAUAAGCCUCAUCUUUCAAAAUCCUCUCACUUCUGGUGCUUUCUGUUUUGGGCAGGAGAGGGCUCCUAGCCCAUUAUCUAUCUUUUAACAUCCCAUUUUACUUUGCAGCUGUAUGUUAAACCUCUUCUUCUUAAGAUUGUAUUGUCACUGCUUCAGAUACACUUCUAAAGAACUUUGCUAAAAUUUGGAACGAUUAAGAAUACAGACAGCAUCACAAGGCAGACCAUCAGUCCUGGCAACACGUGCAGCUCUUUGAAUGUAUGACUCAAUAGUGGCAUUUAGUGACAAGUGAAACCGAGCUUUUGAGGGCUAACACAUUUCUGCAGAGCAGAUCCUAAUGGAAAAGUUAAAAUAGAGUUAAUCAACAUUCUGGAAUCACUACGAACCACAUGAGGUUGCUUGCAAUGGCAGUCUAGAUGAAGCCAGUGUUUCCUUGUGAGAAUAAGUAGCUCUUGUACACCACACUUCCUUGCUACCAGCAUGUUGGUGGCAUUUAUGUUGCAGCAAGGCUCAAAGUAAGUUGUAAGGAUAGCAAAAUAUAACUAACCUCAGGAGCUAGCAUACAAGGCUUUUGUGAAAACAAAGCAGCUGUAAAUCAUUACUAGACAUGUUAGCAUUUCCUCACUUCGUUUGAACUUUGGAUUUUUCCUUGUUAUUAAUAAAUAACAUACUUUCCAAAUCGUGGAUUGUCUAGUUAGCAUCACACUAAUUAUUUUGAAGGUACAACACAAACACUGCAAUCAGGAGGUCACCAGAUUUCCAGUAGUGAGAAUUCUGGAAGUCUCCAAAGUAAAUUACAAAUCUAGUUCUUUAUACAUUUGUUUCUGGGAGCAAAAAUACUUAUGUUUCAGGAGAGUAGCUGCAGCUUAUUCAGCAUGGCCCAUUAUCACAAGAUACUACAUUUUCAGAUGACAUUUUCCAGCCUGGGUAUUUCUGCCAAACCGAGGUUGUUUUGUUCUUUUUUUUUUCUUUUUUUUUUUUUAAUUUCAGACAAAAUGGUUCAUCGGACUCUGAGAACAAAGCUAGCAAAAAAUGUUCAGGAAAGCUCUGCAGCUCCAUGUUUUCAGGCGAGAAAUCUUCAUCAGAGUAGCCUUUGUGUCAACGAUGUGGCUGUAACCCUUCCAAAGUCCAUUUGAGUCAGUCUUAUAAAAUGCUGUUAAAACCUGCUGUUUGCACAGGCUCAGGAGAGAUCUGUCAGAGUUAAUGCUGGGCCUCUCCAGUUGUCACCCUCUCCAAACCGCUGCUGGAGCUGCAAGCACAUGGACAGCCCCACAACUUUCCAGGAACCAGUGCCAGUUUACACGGGACAUUCCCUCCAUUCUGCCUACCCCACAGCCACAUGGCAAACUCAAUCCAGCCACUUAUCUGACUUAAAAGAUCCCAACCCAAAUAGGAAGAUAGGAGGAAAAUAUUCUUCAUCCAGUUUAUGACGGGGAGGCCGGGGUAGGAGCAUGCUGCAAUCACAGAGAAGGAACGUUCCUAAAGCCAGCAGAGAGAGCUGGAGCUGCAAGUUCAGGCCUUCCAGCCUGCAGCACUCCAAGCCACGGGCAGCCAGGAGGGCCCCCAUCACAAAGCCUGUCGAACUGGGGCAAGACUGGGAACUGAAACAAGGAAGGAAAUGACUGAAGUUUCACUAGCAUUUCUUCUGGCGAGCCACCAGUUUACACAACCCCUCAUCACCAGCUCCCUACCAAGCCUGUAGCUGCAGCAGUCCAAAUGGCACAUGGCCCUGCAUGAGAGGAGAGCCUUUUACUGGUGGUGGGCUGGUUCUAACCUAGACAAGGUUCCCAGUACAGAUACCUGUACCGCUCCACAGAGGAGGGAUAGGGACAAUGAGAAAGAAAGCAAGGAGGAGAGGGUAGCAGCUUAUUUAACACUGCAGUGAUCAACAAAAACAAUCACCGAACUAUGCUUGAGAUGCAAUUCUGCACUGUUUAGUGGAAGAAAAUUGAAAUUUAACAGAAGGUGAACUCUUCCAAGCCAAUGAAGAAGAAGCCAGCCCAGGGGGGAAGGAAAUGAGUAAAUUGGGACUAGGAAUCUUGUAUGUCUGGGCUCAGACAAGUGAAAGAAGAAAAAGCACAUGAUGUCCUCCUUUCUGGUGGAGGGAAGCUAUUUAUGUUGGCCCAGCUGCCCACGAAAUGACAGCCUAUGGCUGGGAGGAAGAGGAAAGAGGGAGUUGGGUCAGAAAGGAUGCUUGGAGAUGGAGACUUGGACUUUUGGGCAAAGAGCUGGAGGGCUGGAGGCAGACAUUACGUUCACAAAAAAAUUACAGGUUUGAAAAGAGGCUGUAUGGGAAUGAAUCAAUGAUUGAGCACCUGGUGAAGGGACACAGCCAGCCCAGGGAGCACAGGUGAAAGCAAUUCACUUGUGUAACUGGAACCAGGUUCCACCUCUCCCUAAGCCUCAUUUAAGUGGUGGCUGCCCCACAAGACAGGUCUCUACCUGGAGAUCCUUCCUUUUGGUGUAUUUGGCAAGACCUGAUCCUGGGGAGGACUCUCAAGGCAGUUUAAAAUAAUAAUAAAUUCAAAUACAAGCAAAGAAAACCACGUCCAGCCUGCUGAACCACACCACCUCUUUAAACCACACUGAGAUGAGAGCUGCUGGACCCAGGUGCAGAGGAUGAAGCAGCUCCAGAGCUAAACAGGCACCAAAGCUUGCUCCUGCAUUCUCCAUCUUCACAGCCCCAAACAGGUCAUCCCCAAGAUAAACUCUAUACCAGAUUAUUUCCUACCAGGCUGCUCCUGCUCAACAACCCUAUGCUGUAUGAUGAAAUCACUCACCGCCAGCAAGAGCUUCCUCUCUUGCGCUGUCAUCAUCACUAGGCUGAAGAAUAUUCCAGGAUGUCAAACAGCCCAGUUACAAACCCAGUUGAAGUACGAAAAGAUGGAUGUAUUUUUGUAAGCUUACCCAACCUUACCCAUGGAUUCUUCCAACUAAGUUAUUAAGCUCUAAAACGACAGAAUCUCCACGCUAGCCUUUGUUUGAAAGAACAGACUACUGAGUUGAAUCACAGCACUGUCCAGAGCUUGCAGUUUGUUACUGAGGGGCUCCCUCUCUUUCUCAGGGGUUCAGAGAGCAGAGAAACUGAAACACAGCUCUCCUCUUUCAAAGUGGGUGCUGUGGGCACCAUACAGGCUAAAUGUGUUCUCACAUGUCCAACAACACAUUGAUUAUGCAGCACAGAAAGAAAUGAGGUUGGAGAUGUAAAACCACAAGCUACCAGGAAGACAAAAUUUCUGAUGUUUUCAGAAAUGUGAAGAUGAAGCUGCUCUGAGUAGUUUCUGAGAAGAGUGAAAAAAUUUCCACGCUUAAAAAAUAUUAUGUGCCCUUUGCUCACCCGCUGAUGGCUAUUACUGCAGAAUCAGAGCAUGCAAACAGCAUGACUUCAAUCAUGGAUGUGCACAUUAAAAAAGAAUAGUCAUCCAGAAGCUAAUUAAACACCAGUGGCUAGGCCAGCGAGUGUAGCAAUUUCAGUUUGAACUUAAAGAUCAUUCUGAGAUGAGAUUUUGCUUUGAAAAAUAUUGUUCAGGUGCUAUAAAAUAAUGUGCUCGCUUUUAUUAGCUGCCAUUUCUGGUACGUAUUAUAAAGCUGCCCUUUGAGCCUCACGCUGUUCCACGUAUUUUCUCAGCACUCUCAAAAACUUCACGCCUAUCACAUCGCUUUCCCAUGAGGAAGCUGACUGUUUCCUGUCACUGCAGAAUGCCAUCCUGUCUGAAGAAAGCUCAAGACUUUCAACUUGUGUCAUACCAGCAAAAUGUCAUGGUGGCAUGAAUUUGUCAUAUUUCCCCAGCCUUCCUUUAAGUAAAACAAAAGCUUUACUUUUUGGCAUGUUCUUACCACCAAGAGUAAGUGUGCUGUUGCUGAGUGCAUCAGCUGUGUUCAGACCAAGGCUCUCCAACCAUUCUGCACUACGUGGCCUGGGUGCUUAUAAGGUUGGCUGAAGACUGUGCAUUUUUGGACUGAAAUUUAAGGAUAGGAUGUGAAAUUAUUACAAUGCAAACAUAUUUCAGUAGGACUUUAUAUAUAUAAAAGAGGAAAAAAAGAAUGAAAUGUUCCAAAUUAAAAAAAAAAAAAGCAUCCGUGAGUUCUAGUUCAACCCCUGUCCUAAAGUUUCUGUGCUGCUGUGUCACGGAGUGGCAGCACAGCACCAUUAGGUGAAGUUUAUAAAAUGAUUUCAGAUCCUUCGGCAGGAAAA